UACGGGGGGGGCAAGCGUUGUUCGGAAUUACUGGGCGUAAAGGGCUCGUAGGUGGCCAACUAAGUCAGACGUGAAAUCCCUCAGCUUAACUGGGGAACUGCGUCUGAUACUGGAUGGCUUGAGUUUGGGAGAGGGAUGCGGAAUUCCAGGUGUAGCGGUGAAAUGCGUAGAUAUCUGGAGGAACACCGGUGGCGAAAGCGGGUCUCUGGGCCGUUACUGACGCUGAGGAGCGAAAGCGUGGGGAGCGAACAGG
rnacentral:rRNA from 1 species